rnacentral:lncRNA from 1 species
CCGAAUCGUCCAUGAAGAAGGUAUUGGCCAGCCUAUUAGAAUUCCUCAGGUCAACGUGCUUGUGCUCGUGCUCUUGCUCUUGCUCAUCUAGACUUCUGUCAGAGAAAUUAUCAUAAUAAUCAUGAGGAUUGCUGUUGAAAUUCGGAGGUUCAAGGAAGCUUGUCUGAGGAUUUGUGACUUGUGGUCGACUUCUGUCAGAGAAAUUCUCAUAAUAAUCAUGAGGAUUGCUGUUGAAAUUCGGAGGUUCAAGGAAGCUCGUCUGAGGAUUUGUGACUUGUGGUCGACUUCUAGUCCACCACUGGCUCCUCAUAGAUUGUGCCAUGCUACUUGAAUCAUCCUGAUGUAGGAUGCUCUCUCUCAAAACAGGAGCUGAUGUGGUGGCUUCGAGAUGA